CAGGCCCCGCCCCCGCCCGCGCGGCGUCCGGCUCGAACGGUGGCGCGAGCGGCGGCCGUUCGUCGUGUCGGGGAACACGAGAUAGCGGACGGCCAAUGGGCCCGCGCUCCGCCCGGUGGGGCGAUGCGGCGUCACGGCCGGUCGUCAUGGUGACGCGGCCUUAGUCAGAGCCGCCCGCCCGAAGCCUGCGGUCUCGGUGAGAAUAUGAACAUCGCUGAAUAUAUGUCAGUGUUUAUCAUCUAUUCCCAAUUGCCCCUGAAGUGAGAAGGCAGAUAAGAGUCAACCUCUUGCCACAAUAGAUAAGGACAGUGGAUUUUCUUCCCUAAAGCACAUUGGUGAAGCAGACAUGUUUGUCUUGACUUUCCAGUAAGUUUGAGAAGAUUAUCGAACGAACAAAGCCCAUCAUUGCCACAAAGGAUACAGAUUUCUAGACUUGAAUCCAAGUUUUGCUUUUGACCAAUGGAAGGUCUGAAUGCAGUGAAA